ensembl:lincRNA
AUGGUGGACAAGAAUGCUUUGUGGGCAGGUAAUUUAGUAGUAAAGGAGAUUAUGGUGAACAAAGUACAGUCUAGUUCACCUGAAAGAGUGACUCAGGGAGACUUACUGACUUGGGCUGAUUCCUUGUGUUUUUCUCUGGAGGACCUUGUUUGAAAAAAGAAAACAAACAAAAAACAAAAUAAGUAUUAGCAAUCAUUUACAGUUGAUUGGCCCUAGAAGUUCUUGUCUAGCAGUGAACAUUUAUGUUGUCUAGGGCACUGCUUUAAGCUCUUUAAAACCAUUAUCUUAUUAAUCAUUCUGAUGUUCCUGGGCAAAACCCCCUGCCUUUAAUAAGUGUGGAAAUUAGGUUCAGCGCUGUUAGGUGACUUGGCUGUACACAAAGGCACAAUAUUAAGAGAGGAUGAUAACUAUCGCUAGAUCAACUGUGCAUUAUGUUUUAAAUUUAGAAGCUUCUCAGGAUAAAUGAUGGGAAAAAUGGAACCUAAAGGAAAUGGUCCUUUGAACGCUGGCUUUGGCUGGUGUUAGCUGUGGGAUCUGGACUGGGAGAGCUGCCCCUUUUUGUUGAUAAGAUUAAUAUACCCAGCCCAUCUCGGGGCUGUCUCAAGGAGUCAAAAUGAGAUGAGACACAGGUAUAUAUAGUCUUUCACAUAAUACUUUGAGCAUAAUUUAUUCGGAGGAGCAAAUAGAAAUUACUAAGAGGCUUCAAAAUUUUUUUUUUCUUAUCUUAAGCUAACAUUUUAUCUAUUGUAGUUCCACUGGACUUAUUUAUAGAUUUGGUAAUGACUUGCAGUAGGUGCACGCUGAAUAGCAGAAGGAGAAAAAUGACACAUUUUUUCCUUACAUUUUACAUGACUAGUAGUAAAACAGAAUCCUUACAAUACCACUAACGGGUAUAUUUAAAUAAUUCAAAAUGUAUUUUUAUUUACAUAUUUCAUCAGUAAGUUAAGUUCUUUUUUAAACAGUAAGCAUUGUAGUUUAGAAACAUUUGUUAUACUACAUGCGUUCGAAUCCCGGAUUAGUUACUCAUUCCUUAUGAGUUGUAUUUUUGACUGUAUGUGUAUGGUCAGCCCUUUGUAUCUUCAGGUUCUACACCCAUAAAAAAAUUACAAGUCAAAAAUGUUCGAUAAAAAAUGUUGGCACUAAAUGUGCACCACAAACUGUCUUUUCUUGCCAUUAAUCCCUAAGUAAGAGUACAACUAAUAUUUACAUAGCAUUUACAUGUUAUUGGAUAUUAGAUGUAAUCUAGAGAUGACGGAAAGUAUAUGGGAGAACGUGUAUAGGUUAUGUGCAAACACUACACUGUAGUAUAAGGGACUUGGUGUUCACUGGGGUUGUGGAACUAAUAAACCAAAGGACACGGGAGUGAAGACUGUAUAUAUGAAUACUGUCUGUAAAAGUAGAAUUCUGAGACCUGUGUUUUAAAUACUGUAAAUGUUCAAUAAGAAUAAGAUUUAUUGUAAGUUGCAAGUUACCAAAAAUGUAAUAAAUUUAAUAACUUCUUCCUUCAAGGAUUCAAAUUACUUCAUUAUAAAAUAUAUUAACAUAGUACUUGUGUUAGUAAUAUACAAAUAUAAGAAAAC